rnacentral:rRNA from 1 species
AAUUUGAGGCAUCUCAAAUUGAUUAAAGCUCCGGCGGUUAGAGAUGGGCAUGCGUGUCAUUAGCUAGUUGGUGAGGUAACGGCUCACCAGUGCCACGAUGACUAGGGGGUCUGAGAGGAUGAUCCCCCACACUGGUACUGAGACACGGACCAGACUCCUACGGGAGGCAGCAGUGAGGAAUAUUGGGCAAUGGACGCAAGUCUGACCCAGCCAUGCCGCGUGCAGGAUGACUGCCCUAUGGGUUGUAAACUGCUUUUGGUUUGGGGAAAGAAACUUCCCCGAUCGUGAUCGGGGCUGACGGUUAACCUUACGAAAUAAGCAUCCGGCUAACUCCGUGCCCAGCAGCCGCGGGUAAAUACGGGAGGGAUGCAAGGCGUUAUCCGGGAUUCAUUGGGUUUAAAGGGUGCGCAGGCGGAAUAUUAAGUCAGUGGUGAAAUCCUGCAGCUUAACUGUAGAACUGCCAUUGAUACUGGUAUUCUUGAAUGUAGUUGAGGUGGGCGGAAUGUGUAAUGUAGCGGUGAAAUGCUUAGAUAUUACACAGAACACCAAUUGCGAAGGCAGCUCACUAAACUAUGAUUGACGCUGAGGCACGAAAGCGUGGGUAGCAAACAGGAUUAGAUACCCUGGUAGUCCACGCCGUAAACUAUGAUCACUCGCUGUUGGCAAUACAUCGUCAGCGGCUGAGCGAAAGCAUUAAGUGAUCCACCUGGGGAGUACGGUCGCAAGAUUGAAACUCAAAGGAAUUGACGGGGGCCCGCACAAGCGGAGGAACAUGUGGUUUAAUUCGAUGAUACGCGAGGAACCUUACCUGGGCUUAAAUGCAGAGCGACGUUCCGGGAAACCGGAAUUCCUUCGGGUGAUCUGCAAGGUGCUGCAUGGCUGUUGUCAGCUCGUGCCGUGAGGUGUCGGGUUAAGUCCCAUAACGAGCGCAACCCUUAUCGUUAGUUGCCAGCGGGUAAUGCCGGGGACUCUAACGAAACUGCCGGUGUAAACCGUGAGGAAGGUGGGGAUGACGUCAAGUCAGCACGGCCCUUAUGUCCAGGGCUACACACGUGUUACAAUGGUCGGUACAGAGGGCAGCUACCUGGCAACAGGAUGCUAAUCUCGAAAACCGGUCUCAGUUCGGAUUGGAGUCUGCAACUCGACUUCAUGAAGCUGGAUUCGCUAGUAAUCGCGCAUCAGCCAUGGCGCGGUGAAUACGUUCCCGGGCAUUGUACACACCGCCCGUCAAGCCAUGGAAGCUUGGAGUACAUGAAGUCCGUAACCGCAAGGAGCGGCACUAGGGUA